GUAGGGGUGCAAGCAUUAUCCGGAUUUAUUGGGCGUAAAGAGUUCUGUAGGCGGUGACAUAAGUCAGAGGGUUAAAUCUUUCAGCUUAACUGAAAAUAUGCUUUUGAUACUGUGUUACUAGAGUCAGCAAGGGGGUAGGAGAACUUAUGGUGAAGCAGUGAUAUGCGUUGAUACCAUAAGGAAUACCAAGGGGAAGCCACCUACCUGGGGCUGUUCUGACGCUGAGAGACGAAAGCGUGGGUAGCGAAACGGAUUAGAUACCCGUGUAGUCCACGCCGUAAACGAUGCCUGCUAGGUACUUGGUUUUUACUGAGUGUCGAAGCUAACGCGUUAAGCAGGCCGCCUGGGGAGUACGAUCGCAAGAUUA
rnacentral:rRNA from 1 species